UACGUAGGUGGCGAGCGUUGUUCGGAAUUACUGGGCGUAAAGCGCGCGUAGGCGGACCUGCAAGUCGGGGGUGAAAGCCCGAGGCUCAACCUCGGGAACUGCCUUCGAUACUGCGGGUCUCGAGUCCGGGAGAGGUGAGUGGAAUUCCUAGUGUAGAGGUGAAAUUCGUAGAUAUUCGGAAGAACACCAGUGGCCGAAGGCGGCUCACUGGACAUGUAUUGACGCUGAGGUGCGAAAGCGUGGGGAGCAACAGG
rnacentral:rRNA from 1 species